rnacentral:lncRNA from 1 species
GACCUCCUGAAGGACUAUGAUUGCAAAUCAUCUACCUUCCCGGUAGAGGGAAUCUAGUCGCUGAUGCACUAAGUUAGAAGGAACCCAUUGUGUUGGCCCAAACUAUGGCCUCCAGUUAGAAAUUAGUUGAUGCUAUGCAGGCACUCCACCUCAACCACUAUGGCAAUGCUGCCUAUCUCACUCAUAUCCGAGCUAUAUCUUUUUAUAAAGAUUUGGGAAGCUCCAUCCAUGGAUCAAGAAAUCACCAAAAUUUCUAGUAAGUUUACUUCUAACGAGUUUUCUGAUUUUAGACUUACCGAUAAUGGGUUGUGCAGAUUUUGGGACUAUAUUUAGGUCCCUAU